GGUAACAGGAAACAGCUUGCUGUUUCGCUGACGAGUGGCGGACGGGUGAGUAAUGUCUGGGAAACUGCCUGAUGGAGGGGGAUAACUACUGGAAACGGUAGCUAAUACCGCAUAACGUCGCAAGACCAAAGAGGGGGACCUUCGGGCCUCUUGCCAUCAGAUGUGCCCAGAUGGGAUUAGCUAGUAGGUGGGGUAACGGCUCACCUAGGCGACGAUCCCUAGCUGGUCUGAGAGGAUGACCAGCCACACUGGAACUGAGACACGGUCCAGACUCCUACGGGAGGCAGCAGUGGGGAAUAUUGCACAAUGGGCGCAAGCCUGAUGCAGCCAUGCCGCGUGUAUGAAGAAGGCCUUCGGGUUGUAAAGUACUUUCAGCGGGGAGGAAGGGAGUAAAGUUAAUACCUUUGCUCAUUGACGUUACCCGCAGAAGAAGCACCGGCUAACUCCGUGCCAGCAGCCGCGGUAAUACGGAGGGUGCAAGCGUUAAUCGGAAUUACUGGGCGUAAAGCGCACGCAGGCGGUUUGUUAAGUCAGAUGUGAAAUCCCCGGGCUCAACCUGGGAACUGCAUCUGAUACUGGCAAGCUUGAGUCUCGUAGAGGGGGGUAGAAUUCCAGGUGUAGCGGUGAAAUGCGUAGAGAUCUGGAGGAAUACCGGUGGCGAA
rnacentral:rRNA from 1 species